rfam:Pseudomonas entomophila str. L48 chromosome,complete sequence.
UACGCGAUGCCGAAGUCGGGUCGCGUAGUGACUUAACUUGCUGAAUCUCAGGAGUUCAUGACCAUGACU